rnacentral:rRNA from 1 species
UAAUACGGAGGGUGCGAGCGUUAAUCGGAAUUACUGGGCGUAAAGGGUGCGUAGGUUGUUUGAUAAGUUAUCUGUAAAAUCCCCGGGCUUAACCUGGGCAGGUCAGAUAAGACUGUUGGACUUGAGUACAGGAGAGGGCAGUGGAAUUUCCGGUGUAGCGGUGAAAUGCGUAGAGAUCGGAAGGAACACCAGUGGCGAAGGCGGCUGCCUGGCCUGAUACUGACACUGAGGCACGAAAGCGUGGGGAGCAAACAGGAUCAGAUACCCUGGUAGUCCACGCUGUAAACGAUGUCAACUGGCUGUUGGCCAUAUGAAUGUGGUCAGUGGCGUAGCUAACGCGCUAAGUUGACCGCCUGGGGAGUACGAUCGCAAGAUUAAAACUCAAAGGAAUUGACGGGGGCCCGCACAAGCGGUGGAGCAUGUGGUUUAAUUCGAUGCAACGCGAAGAACCUUACCUGCCCUUGACAUACAGUGUAGGCUGCAGAGAUGUGGCUUUGCCUUCGGGAACACUGAUACAGGUGCUGCAUGGCUGUCGUCAGCUCGUGUCGUGAGAUGUUGGGUUAAGUCCCGUAACGAGCGCAACCCUUAUUCUUAGUUGCCAUCAGGUAAAGCUGGGAACUCUAAGGAGACUGCCGGUGACAAACCGGAGGAAGGCGGGGACGACGUCAAGUCAUCAUGGCCCUUACGGGCAGGGCUACACACGUGCUAUAAUGGCCGGUACAGAGGGAGGCGAAGCGGUGACGCGGAGCAAAUCCUUAAAAGCCGGUCGUAGUCCGGAUUGGAGUCUGCAACUCGACUCCAUGAAGCCGGAAUCGCUAGUAAUCGCGAAUCAGCAUGUCGCGG